UACGUAGGGGGCUAGCGUUGUCCGGAUUUAUUGGGCGUAAAGAGCGUGUAGGCGGCCAGGUAGGUCUGCUGUGAAAACUCGAGGCUCAACCUCGAGAUGUCGGCGGAAACCAUCUGGCUAGAGUCCGGAAGAGGAGAGUGGAAUUCCUGGUGUAGCGGUGAAAUGCGCAGAUAUCAGGAAGAACACCCGUGGCGAAGGCGGCUCUCUGGGACGGUACUGACGCUGAGACGCGAAAGCGCGGGGAGCGAACGGG
rnacentral:rRNA from 1 species